rnacentral:tRNA from 1 species
AGUAGGGUCAGCUAAUAAAGCUAUCGGGCCCAUACCCCGAAAAUGAUGGCUUAACCCCAUCCCCCACUA